rnacentral:rRNA from 1 species
AAACCAACUGGGAUUACCUUAGUAACGGCGAGUGAAGCGGUAAAAGCUCAAAUUUGAAAUCUGGUACUUUCAGUGCCCGAGUUGUAAUUUGUAGAAUUUGUCUUUGAUUAGGUCCUUGUCUAUGUUCCUUGGAACAGGACGUCAUAGAGGGUGAGAAUCCCGUUUGGCGAGGAUACCUUUUCUCUGUAAGACUUUUUCGAAGAGUCGAGUUGUUUGGGAAUGCAGCUCAAAGUGGGUGGUAAAUUCCAUCUAAAGCUAAAUAUUGGCGAGAGACCGAUAGCGAACAAGUACAGUGAUGGAAAGAUGAAAAGAACUUUGAAAAGAGAGUGAAAAAGUACGUGAAAUUGUUGAAAGGGAAGGGCAUUUGAUCAGACAUGGUGUUUUUGCAUGCACUCGCCUCUCGUGGGCUUGGGCCUCUCAAAAAUUUCACUGGGCCAACAUCAAUUCUGGCAGCAGGAUAAAUCAUUAAGAACGUAGCUACCUCGGUAGUGUUAUAGCUUUUUGGAAUACUG